GGAUCGCCCUUUCCAUUCCCUUCUCUCUCACAAUUCACAUCUCAUAAACUUCAUUAGACUCUCUCUCUUUCUCUCUCUCAGAUCUAGAUCUGGAGCAAACAUCAAUGAAAUUGAAAACACGCAGUGAUGAACACCGAUUUGAAGAAACCCUAACUAAAGGGACUUGACUUGCCUCAUGGUGGACACUUGUCUCAUGGAUUCAUGACACCCAAACGAAGGGUUUUGGGAACAUCCAUAUAUUUUGAAUCCAUAUAUUUUGGUUUUGUUACUUGUUUUUGAAUUGCAAUCUGGUCGAUUCUUUACUUUUUUGGGGGUACCCGUUCCUCAGAUGCAAGUCAAAAGAGUGCAAACUUGAAGUUCUUUUGUUUUCUUCUUCGUGUCUGACAAUGAAAUUGUUUCCGGAAUUCUGGGUUACAGUUUUGAUGUCUUGCAGAUUUAAAGAUUACAAACAGUCUACUAUGGUUUCUCGGUCUGCAAUUUGAGGAUAUUUUUAAAUUGGAUCCGCUUUAAAAGGGCAAUUUCCGGAGGAAGAACGACGAGAGACGGAGGCACAGACGCUGGUCGUCAGCGAUAAUAAAGGUUGAAGAAGUUAAAUCAAAUAUCUUUCCUUUAUUGGAUACAGCCCCUGAGCUGGUGCCAGUUCAAUAUGGUGGACUGAGCCGCGAAGGCGAACAAGAAUUCACCUCUGGUGACGCCGUUAUAGAAGAGCUUUUCAAGUCUGCAACUAAACAUGCCGUCGAUUUCCCUGUUACUGAGAUAUUCCCAAGCCCGCCCUGCAAUGGUGGAUCUAGAAAAUCAACAUUUCAUAAAAAGUAGUAAUGAAAUCGGAAAAAAAAAAAUUUUCCAAAAUUUACACUACCGCUGGAGCGUCAAGGGGUAGCGGGGCUACCCCUAUUUACAAGCUAUAUCUGCCCCUGCCGGCCCAAUGUGACAUGUUUCGGUCAGUACCGAUUUUGACUCAUUGCCUAAUCUUUUGAUGGCAGAUUGCAACUAGAUAUCUGGUUCCGGAGCUGGCUGGCAAACGUUUGACGCCUUUGGUAGCCUAUCGUUGCUUCUUUAUGUUGCCUUCAUAUAGAGAAUGUAUGAAUAUUGUUCUGUAAUCUAUAGAAUCCUUUCUUUAUGUUAUAACUUAAUUAACAAUUCAAUUUAUAUUCUGCCCAUUUGCAUGGAGAAAAGAUGAACACAAUGCUAAAUAGUAUGGCAGAAUUCUUGAUUAUUUAAAAGAACUUGGGAUUUGGGAAA